rnacentral:rRNA from 1 species
GACCUGACUGGUUUGGUCUUGCUAACGGUAAGCACUGAGCAGUCGGGUCUUUCCUUCUGGGGAACCAACGUGCGCUUAAUUGAGUGCGUUGGGGAUCCAGGACUUUUACUUUGAAAAAAUUAGAGUGUUUAAAGCAGGCUUACGCUUGAAUACAUUAGCAUGGAAUAAUAGAAUAGGACU